rnacentral:rRNA from 1 species
ACGUACACUCCUGCGGGAGGCAGCAGUGGGGAAUUUUGGACAAUGGGCGAAAGCCUGAUCCAGCCAUGCCGCGUGCAGGAUGAAGGCCUUCGGGUUGUAAACUGCUUUUGUACGGAACGAAACGGCCUUUUCUAAUAAAGAGGGCUAAUGACGGUACCGUAAGAAUAAGCACCGGCUAACUACGUGCCAGCAGCCGCGGUAAUACGUAGGGUGCAAGCGUUAAUCGGAAUUACUGGGCGUAAAGCGUGCGCAGGCGGUUAUGUAAGACAGUUGUGAAAUCCCCGGGCUCAACCUGGGAACUGCAUCUGUGACUGCAUAGCUAGAGUACGGUAGAGGGGGAUGGAAUUCCGCGUGUAGCAGUGAAAUGCGUAGAUAUGCGGAGGAACACCGAUGGCGAAGGCAAUCCCCUGGACCUGUACUGACGCUCAUGCACGAAAGCGUGGGGAGCAAACAGGAUUAGAAACCCUUGUAGUCCCA